rnacentral:rRNA from 1 species
AGCAGCCGCGGUAAUUCCAGCUCCAAUAGCGUAUAUUAAAGUUGUUGCCGUUAAAAAGCUCGUAGUUGAACCUUGGGCCUGGCUGACCUGUCCUCCUAAUCGAGCGCACGGGUUCGGUCGGGCCUUUCCUUCUGGGGAUCCCGAUGCCCUUCACUGGGCGUCGUGGGGAACCAGGACUUUUACCUUGAAAAAAUUAGAGUGUUCAAAGCAGGCCUUUGCUCGAAUACAUUAGCAUGGAAUAAUAGAAUAGGACAGAGGUUCUAUUUUGUUGGUUUCUAGGACCGCUGUAAUGAUUAAUAGGGAUAGUCGGGGGCGUCCGUAUUCAAUUGUCAGAGGUGAAAUUCUUGGAUUUAUUGAAGACGAACUACUGCGAAAGCAUUCGCCAAGGAUGUUUUCAUUAAUCAGUGAACGAAAGUUAGGGGAUCGAAGACGAUCAGAUACCGUCGUAGUCUUAACCAUAAACUAUGCCGACUAGGGAUCGGACGGUGGUUUUUUUAUACCCCG